GUGAUUAGAAAAUAAUAUGCAUGGUUUUACAACAUUAUCUGUCUGAUUACAAGGUAAAGCAUUUCCACACUACGACUCACAUGCUAGCUGGAACAGAGCUACAUUUCAUUAUGUUAAUGCGCAGGAAAGAUAGGUGAGAGCCUAUUAAAAUUUGGGUAUAUAAGAGGCAUGUUUCCUGUGAUGGUGGCUUUGAGAAUUCCAGGAAUAUGAGAGCAAAGCAACUGCUAACUCAGAACGGAUGAACGCAUCUCCUAUUUUCAAUGCCAUGGAUCUAGUUGCAAUUCAGAAUGUGGGGGUUCCAAGACAAAAGUUCUGAUGGAGACAUUUCCCCCAAGCCCACAAUUUUUCUUCCUUCAGUUGCUGAAAGAAAUCGCGAUAAGGCUGGGACAUAUCUUUGUCUUCUGGAGAAUUUUUUCCCUGAUGUUAUUAAGGUAUAUUGGAAAGAGAAGGAUGGGAAUACAAUCCUUAAAUCCCAGGAGGGAGACACCAUGAAGACUAAUGACACCUACACAAAACUUAGCUGGCUAACAGUGACGGGAGUCUCCAUGGAUGAAGAGCACAAAUGUAUUGUCAAACAUGAGAAAAAUCAAGGAAGAGUUGAUCAAGAGAUUCUCUUUCCUCCAGUAAACCAAAUUAGGAGUACUUCUAAACCUGAAGCUUGCAUGAAUGAUGAAAAUGGUUUGCUGGACCUGCAGGUCACCAGCACCUCUGCCUACUACACCUACCUCCUGCUGCUCCUCAAGAGUGCCGUCCACGGGGCCCUCAACACCUACUGUCUGUGCAGAAGGUACCCUGACUUCUGUUAUGGAAAGAGCACCUGACAGAUGGAGACACACAGGACCACAGUGUCUCCACCAUUCCUGUCCCCAGAAGCGUCUACUGAGGGUCUGCAGCAUUUGAUGGGCUCAGCUUUUAAAAGCUGUGUACACACUGUCAGUAUGACAUAAGGAUUUCUCAACCGGUGGGCAAACUGCAUGGCUUUCUCUGUCACAAAGCACAGCUCAUGGCACCUUGAGCCCCAUUCUAUGGUCCCCACACCAACUCCAACCAGCCAGGUUCUCAGGGCCUUGAUGUGCACAGCUUGCUGCUGCUCAUGAGGACUUCAGUGUCUGUGGACGGUAUCAUCCUCUGGGAGCCUCCACUCCACCCAUCUGACAUAGCCUCUGUGCUAUAGCUCUGCUUUGUUCAUAGAGGACACAAUAAAUAAAAACUAUCCAAAAGCUU